CAUGAAUCACUACAUGUAUUGUCUGGGACAUAGCAGAUGAGGACUAAUUACUGUUAUUUUUUUCAUUAUUUGCUCUAAAAACCCAAGAAAAUAAAAAUAAUGCUCAGUAAAGUAAUGGACCUUGCAGAAAGAGCUAGCUACAACUACUAACUCAGAGACCAAGAUCGUUAACUUGUCAUCUGUUUUCAAAGACUGUUCUCUUCACUAUAAACUAUCUAACAAAAACAUCACCUGUGCAAUGACUCUUGCAGAAUACGAGAGGUUUUUCAAAAGUUCGUGGAAAAUGUGCGUUAUCAAAAUGGCUUCACACAUUUUUGUACCAAGGGAGCUGAGUACAUUAAAGGAGAACAAAGGCCAAAGGCUUCAGUCUGAAAUAAUAGAUGUCCUAUAGACAGACAUCAGUAUUGUGGACUAAGUUGAAAUAACCAGAGGCAUGAAUAAGCAAACGGUAAAAGGACAAACAUUUGAAUUGUUCUCAGAUUUAUAUACA